CCUACGGGUGGCAGCAGUCGAGAAUCAUUCACAAUGGGGGAAACCCUGAUGGUGCGACGCCGCGUGGGGGACUGAAGGUCUUCGGAUUGUAAACCCCUUUCAUGUGGGAGAAAAUUAAAAAAAUAGAACCACAAGAUGAAGAGACGGCUAACUUUGUGCCAGCAGCCGCGGUAAUACAGAGGUCUCAAGCUUUGUUCGGAAUCACUGGGCGUAAAGCGUGCGUAGGCGGUUGCGUAAGUCGUGUGUGAAAUGCGCGGGCUCAACCCGAGGACGGCACGUGAUACUGCGAGACUAGAGUAAUGGAGGGGAAACCGGAAGUCUCGGUGUAGCAGUGAAAUGCGUAGAUAUCGAGAGGAACACUCGUGGCGAAGGCGGGUUCCUGGACAUUAACUGACGCUGAGGCACGAAGGCCAGGGGAGCGAAAGGGAUUAGAUACCCUUGUAGUC
rnacentral:rRNA from 1 species